ACUCCGUACGGGAGGCAGCAGUGGGGAAUAUUGCACAAGUGGGGGAAACCCUGAUGCAGCCAUGCCGCGUGUGUGAAGAAGGCCUUCGGUUGUAAAGCACUUUCAGUAGGGAGGAAGGUAGUGUAGUUAACACCUGCAUUAUUUGACGUUACCUACAGAAGAAGCACCGGCUAACUCCGUGCCAGCAGCCGCGGUAAUACGGAGGGUGCGAGCGUUAAUCGGAAUUACUGGGCGUAAAGCGCAUGCAGGCGGCCUGUUAAGUCAGAUGUGAAAGCCCGGGGCUUAACCUCGGAAUUGCAUUUGAAACUGGCAGGCUAGAGUCUUGUAGAGGGGGUAGGAAUUUCAGGUGUAGCGGUGAAAUGCGUAGAGAUCUGAAGGAA
rnacentral:rRNA from 1 species